rnacentral:lncRNA from 1 species
CCUGCCCCAUGCAAAGGGAACCAACCGCUCCUGGCUCACCCCUCUCUCUCCGAGGGGGCAGCCGAGGGACCUGGGCGCACCGGUCCUUCGUCCAGUCCCGCCCACCUAGCCGCGACUCCGAGCUGCCGCCUGCUGCCCCCUGCUGUCCCCUGGCUGAUGAGCCUGAGAGCAGCGCGAGCCGACCCGCGGAAAGCCAAGCCCGCCGUUGUGGGACCUGCGGGGACAGAUCCGGCGGGCGGGGCGUCCGCGGGCUGGGCUGGUCCACCUGCGUGCUCUGCGCAUCCUUCUGCAGCUCCUGCGGUUGGUGCGCCGUUUGUUCCCAGAGAUUCAGGUUUGGAAGACGCACCAGUUACAACCGCACAUGCGCGCUGCCUGGCGAGGAAAAGACAGCGGGACUUUGCAUGUCGAUCACAGGAUGCCCACCUGUGGCAGGUCUCCAUGCUGAAGCAGGGUGAUGGGCAGCCACAGAUGUCUGCUAAGAGGAGUCGGGGAGUGGCCGGCCAGGUAGCUGUUUAACAAGCAAUGCCUGAGUCAGAUCCAACUGCACAAGGCGGGGACAGAGAACUCAGUGUCCCCCUCGAGAGGCUGUCAUCACACGAGAUGCCUGGUGCUGGCAAUUCCUUCACCAACAUUCAUUCAACCAACGCUCGCUGAGUGCCCACUGGGCACCAGGUACUGGCAUAGGCGCUGGGGACAAAGACAAACCUGCGUGUCCACAUGGAGUUUGCCUUCUAAAGGGAGGGGCACAGACAGUCAGCAAAACAAACUUGUUGAUACAGAAGAUGCUGAAGAAAAGGUACGAAUGUUGCCCUCACCAGUUACAAUGAGCAGGCGGAGCCCCCAGAACCUCAGCUGGUGGAAGAGCCGGGGAAACGUCUUAGCUCUCAGACCUUUCGGUGACACUUGAGGACACCAUGGUGGCUUUUGAUUCUUUGUGCAUCUCACAGUAGGUGACCUGGAUUGUCACCUGUGGAGGUGUCACAGCCGGCGGGGCAGAGACUAAACACCCCCCCCCCCCACCCAAAGACCCUUGGCCUCCGUUCAUCCCCGUGAGAGGACAAGGCUGCUGAGGGGGAAGUUCCUCAUCCACCCGACUCCCGGCUUUUUGCAGCUACUGGGAGCUGAGUCCGAGAGCAACCUGGAUGCAGGGAGCCCCCUGGGCUGAACUCAGACCUUCGCUUAACCUGAGCUCACGUCCCUGGUGCCAGCAGCAGCGCCGCUCCUGGAGCCAGCAGAAGCUCGGGGAAAGCCCAGGUUCCAGAAAGACGGCGCUAGCCUGAAAGUACCCC